UACGUAGGGUGCAAGCGUUGUCCGGAAUCACUGGGCGUAAAGCGCGCGCAGGCGGUCUUUCACGUCCGGGGUGAAAGCCCAGAGCUCAACUCUGGGAUUGCCUUGGAUACGGGGAGACUUGAGGAUCGGAGAGGCAAGGGGAAUUCCACGUGUAGCGGUGAAAUGCGUAGAGAUGUGGAGGAACACCUGUGGCGAAGGCGCCUUGCUGGCCGAUUUCUGACGCUGAGGCGCGAAAGCGUGGGGAGCAAACAGG
rnacentral:rRNA from 1 species